AAAUAGCAGCCUUCAAUUCAUUUAAUUCACUGGAAAACCAUACGAUCCAUCAUAAAUUCCUCAUCAAUAGCACCUUAGUACAUACGAUUGAAGAGUCCCAAACCACCGCCACCCUCCUUUCCGGUUUUGUCUCCGCAAUUUGUUCCCCCCAUCACCGCGUCUCGAAUAGUCGCCACCGGUGCUGUGCUACACAUCCACCGCUUCCUGGUUUUUGCCUCUGCUCGUUGGUGUCGCAAACAGGCCAUCUCAAGUAUUCAUUGGCAUCCGAUUUGUUCUUCUUGGUUACGAUCCUCUAAAAAACUCACAGGUUUCACUGAAGUUUGUUAAUGGCGGAGCUAUUAAUGUCGGUAAAUACGGUCCGAAUUGCACUCAUGUUAUUCUUGAUAAGCUUGUUUGGGUCUACUCUGUCUUAUAUCAAAAACCCAUUUUCUGUUUUAAUUCCCAUGUGUAUUAAUCUUUGUACUCAAAUUGUACCAUAA
rnacentral:lncRNA from 1 species